AGUGAAUGCUGGCGGUAGGCCUAACACAUGCAAGUCGAGCGGCAGCACAGUAAGAGCUUGCUCUUACGGGUGGCGAGUGGCGGACGGGUGAGGAAUACAUCGGAAUCUACUUUUUCGUGGGGGAUAACGUAGGGAAACUUACGCUAAUACCGCAUACGACCUACGGGUGAAAGCAGGGGAUCUUCGGACCUUGCGCGAUUGAAUGAGCCGAUGUCGGAUUAGCUAGUUGGCGGGGUAAAGGCCCACCAAGGCGACGAUCCGUAGCUGGUCUGAGAGGAUGAUCAGCCACACUGGAACUGAGACACGGUCCAGACUCCUACGGGAGGCAGCAGUGGGGAAUAUUGGACAAUGGGCGCAAGCCUGAUCCAGCCAUACCGCGUGGGUGAAGAAGGCCUUCGGGUUGUAAAGCCCUUUUGUUGGGAAAGAAAAGCAGCAGGUUAAUACCCCGCUGUUCUGACGGUACCCAAAGAAUAAGCACCGGCUAACUUCGUG
rnacentral:rRNA from 1 species